rnacentral:rRNA from 1 species
UACGAAGGGGGCUAGCGUUGCUCGGAAUCACUGGGCGUAAAGCGCACGUAGGCGGAUUGCUAAGUCAGAGGUGAAAUCCUGGAGCUCAACUCCAGAACUGCCUUUGAUACUGAAGGUCUUGAGUUCGGGAGAGGUGAGUGGAACUGCGAGUGUAGAGGUGAAAUUCGUAGAUAUUCGCAAGAACACCAGUGGCGAAGGCGGCUCACUGGCCCGAUACUGACGCUGAAGCACGAAAGCGUGGGGAGCAAACAG